AUAUUUACUGCCUGGAAAAGCCCUUCCAGAUCUGAACACAAAAGCAAUCAAAGUACCAAUUGGACAGAAAAAACAAAGUCUACAAGCAGUACAGCACAAUGGGAACUCUUCACAUUGAGGUCUGCAUGAAUGAAUGCAGAAGGCUCUUGUUUGCUCUUAGAAUCACUUUUGGACACUGAAAAGACCGCCCUUAAUUAAAAUCACAUUAAGCCUCCUUUUUUUUUUAUUUAAUUGAAAAUAAAUCUCUUCCACUUAGUUACA
rnacentral:lncRNA from 14 species